rnacentral:pre_miRNA from 1 species
GACAUGGUUGGCUGCCUCUGGACUGUGAGGCCCGCAGUUCAACAUGCCCCGCCCACUGUUCAGGGAACUUGUGUUCAGCAUGUUGGU